rnacentral:misc_RNA from 1 species
UUAACUAUUAUAUAGUACUCAGACAUCAAAGAUUCAGGGGUUUAGGUCCUUUGGCAGGCGCGAUCCAGCCGAAGCCAGGGGCCUGCCAAAGCAACGAAGUUUAGUAUACAAAGGGUGAGAAUAGGGCCGUGAGGCCAUGUAUUCUUUAAUGAUCCUUCCGCAGGUUCCGUUGGCUCCCUGGAGUUACCAGCAGGGACGGGCUCUAUCUCAAGCUUGGCUGGGCCAAACCCACACUUAUUGAGUCUCUGAACCGACCCCCGGGUGAGGGGGUGGGCUGCGAAUUUCCCUUUAACGGGCCUUCUCGCAAGUUAAGUGUGUCGCUGACGAAAUCGUCAACUAGCAGCCUGUACAGGCUGCUCUAGUAGGCUGAACUCUUGACCUACGGAAA